rnacentral:lncRNA from 1 species
UCUCCUAUAAGGAAAGUAUCCUGAGAGUUUGAGAAACCAUGCCUUUAAAUUAACUUGAGUUCUACAGAAUUGGAGAAAGUUCAUUUUUUUUCCCCUUUAUUUCAGGCUGUAUCCUUUUCAGUGACCUUAAAUAACUUCUUUUGCAGUCUGCAGAGCCUCAUGUUUCUGCAUCUUAGUGACUGCAGCUUUGGUUGCAGGGGGCCACAGGGUCUUCCCUUACUCUAGUAAUUGGUAAACAGAAGCAGCAGUAGGCCUAAGGAUGGGAACAUGAAUUAUAUGUACAUCCUCCUUAGUGCUGGUGAUGGAGCUCUUCCUUCACUGGGGUCAGAUUCCCUUUCAUAGCCUGCCUCUGCCUCUGCCUCUCCUUUUUUAAUUAUUACUGUUUCUGAAUGAAAAUUAUAGAAGGUAAGUUGACUUUUACAUUUUAAAUUUUGCUUAGUUAUUCAGCAAUUCUUUGCUAGUUGUUGUUGUUUAUGGUGCAGAUAGGUCUAAGAACAGUGGGCAGUGCAAUGCUAGAAAACCAAUUCUGUUUAUCUUUAGAUUAAACUGAAGUUAAGCUUCUCCUUAAAGGUGCUGUCUGCUUAGUUAUCAGACCCUUAAAACAGCACUUCCUAAAGGCAGCUACUGCCUCCAAGAUUCUUUGUAUCUGGUGUCCCAGCUAGGCCUGAUCCCUAAUACAUAGUUUUACGUUUCUUCCUGUAUACACAUCUAUGAUAAAGUUUAAUUUACAUUAACUACAGAAAGAGAUUAACAGCAGUGAAUAAGCAAAGUAUUAAUAAAAUUUUGCUAUAAUAAAAACUGGUAAAAUGUGGUAAAUACUAAAGAAUUAGGCUGGCAAGGUGGCUUAGUGGAUAAAGGAAUUUUGUGCCCAGCCUGAAGACAUGAGUUUGGUCAUUGGGAUCCUCAAGGUAGAAGAGAACUGAUUUCAAGUUGUCUUCUGACCUCUUAUGCAUAAUACACCCAGUAUACACACAAAUAAAUGGGACAAUAAAGAAUUGCUUAUUUUUGGAAUUUACCACUUAAUAUUUUUGACUCUGAAUUGUCAUAAGCAAAGCAAGACUUUGAAUAAGGUAAGGGGGGUAACUAUCAUUUUACUACUUUUUAAAAGGUUUGUUUUUAUUUUAUGCGUAUGAAUGUGUGUAUUUGUGCACCACAUGCUAUAGCUGUGAGCUAGCAUGUGAGUGCUUUGACCCAGAUCUGCUGCAAGAGCAAAUGCUCUUAACUGCCGUCAUCUCCACCUCCUUAUUAAUUUCAUUUGUGUAUAUGUAUAUAGGCAGGCAGUGCCACAGUUAAUGUGAGGUCAGAAAAUAGUCUCCUUUCACGUGUGUCCCAGGAUUGAACUCUGGGUUGAAAUGUUUAGUGACAGGCCUGGAUACCUCAUGAGCUAUCGGGCAAGCCUCGGGAACUCAGUGUAAAAUUCUGGCACAUGUCCUUUUAGUCCCAGCAUUUGGGAGGCAUAGUUAGGUAGAGCUCUUGAGUUUGAAGCCAGUCAGACUGCAUAGUCAGACCCUGUUUCAACAACAAAACUAAAGCAAACAUGGCUCAAUGUUGCUCCAUGGGAGAGAGAGUGCUUGCUGAGUGUACGUAAGGUUCUAUGUUUUGUUAUGAGCGCCCCCCCCCCCAAUCCAAAAACCUCUCAGGUUUACUAGCUAGAACAUGUUUUUAACUGAAGUGAUGUACCAGUGAGCUAUAUUCCUAGUCCCAUCUAAAUUUUGUUUUCAAACUGGGUCUUGCUAAGUCACCUAGACAUCCUGUAGCUUAGUUCCCUGCCCAGGCCUCCCAGAUAACGUCCGAUCGCAUGUGUGUACUAACAUGCUUUCCUGAAAGCUCCUGUAGAGCCUAGAAGACAUCAAAUCCUCUGGAGCUGGAGUCACAGCUGUGACAGACAGCUUGUGGAUGGGGAAUCAAAUUCUGGUCCCCUGAGGAGCAGGAAGGCCCUUUUUUUUUUUUUUUUGGUUUUUUUCGUUUUUCGAGACAGGGUUUCUCUGUGUAGACCCGGCUGUCCUGGAACUCACUCUGUAGACCAGGCUGGCCUCGAACUCAGAAACCCGCCUGGCUCUACCUCCCAAGUGCUGGGAUUAAAGGCUUGCGCCACCACGCCCGGCCGCAGGAAGUUCUUUUAACCACUGAACCUGCUCUCUAUUCCCUAGUUGUUUUUGUUGUUUAUUGAGACAAUAUCUCAUGUACCAGAGGAGCUUCAAACUUGCUGUGUAGCUUUGGGAUAUUAUUGCCUUCUGAUGCUACUUCCUUACCUUGCAAGUGCUGGGAUUAAUAGGUGUGCACUACCGUGCCUGGCUAGACUUUUAAUUAAUGCAAAAUAGUGAAUUUCAUUAUUGGUUUCCAUACAUGAGUACCAUAUACUUUGAUUAUGCUAUUGUUCCUGAAGGUAUUUUAUAUCCUGAGAUAUUUUUUAGUAUCCCCUAGUAAUAUUAAUAUUAUGAUUGGCAGAAUAAGUGGUAUUUAAGAACCUCAUCAAGUGUCCUUAAUCCUAGCACUCUGGGCAGAGACAGGCAGUUCUCUGGAAGUGUGAGGCCAGCCUAUUCUGCAUAGCAAAUUCUCGGGGAGCCAGAGCUACCCUGAGACCCUGCUGCACCCUCCACCCC